AUGGCUUCUCACCUCCGCUUAUUCGCCUUUGUUCCAAACGCGAUUCUCCUCCUCUAUCGCUUCUUCUCUUAUCUGCAGAGGCCUUUCAUUGCUACUUUUCCGACUAAUUCUCACAACACUGUCGUGUUCAAUACGAUUGUCGCCUCGCUCUCUUCUCUUCGCCGAAUUCGUCAUAGAUUCGAGCCAACGGUGCAAAUAACGAAGAAGAAGGAAUCACUUACAUGCCAGAGACACUCUGGUGGCUUCUUCGUUCGUGUCGAGAUCGAGUGGAAAACCGGAAUAUUCUCCAGAGAUCUUGAUUGUUGUUGCAGAUGA